CUCUCUCUCUCUCUCUCUCUCUAUCGAAUUCCAUUCCAAAUCUAUAAAAAGUAUAUUUCUAGGGUUUCUUUCCUUUCCUUUCUUUUGUCUUCUCUUCGUCGACUUCUCAGAUUUCUAGGGUUUCGCUUAAAAAUUCCUUUUCUGGAGGUGGUUGCCAUUCCCUUCAAGAAAAAGAUUGGAUCAUUGAAUAUAUUUUAGAUUUUCUUCGAUUUUCAACGUUCUGCUGUUUAGAUCCUCGUUCUCUGUGUUUUUCUAGGGUUUCAAGUUCGUUCCUUUGAAAUUAGGGUUUUCAGCACGGUGAGAUUGGUGAAUUGUCAUCGUGGAGCAAAAUAUUCAAGAUUAGGUUUUUAUUCUUGCAAAUUAGGGUUUUUUUUCCUGGAAUUAGGUCUUAGAUUCGAUUUAGGGGUUUUUCUUGGUGUGAGGAAAAUCGGGGUUGCGGGGUACAUAUGGCAGCAGGAAGGCAUGGAGGUUACCUCGACCACGAAUUCAGGGACCGGGAAACGGAUCUUGGGGUGUCACAGCGGAGGGAUUUCUAUUACUACAAGGAAGGAUAUGGCCGAUACCGUGAUGUUGUCCGUGAGCCCGACUGUAACCGUGGUAGUCGUGAUCUUGAACGACAAAAGGAGCGGGAUUAUCAGGACAAGGCAAGAAGUAGGCGGAGGAAUGCUAAGGAGAGGGAGUUGGAGAAUGCAGGGUACCGAUCUUCUUCAAGCACGAGCAAUUCGGGUGGCAGAAGUAGUGGUUGGAAGAAAGGUGGGUUUUAUGUUAGAAAGGCUGAACGAGAGCCGGGGGAGUUGUCAAGUGGAAGUGGAUCUGAUGAUGGUGACAUAUCCGAACUGCAGGUUAGGCAGAAUGAGAAUCAGUUGGAAAAUGGGCCCAAGUCGCCGCCGGGUAGAAAGAGGAAGUUUUCCCCGAUUGUAUGGGAUAGAGAAGAAAGGAAGGUGAGUAAAUCUCCUAUAAAGAGAACUGAUCCACCGAAUGCCUCCCUGCCUCUGUCGCUGCCUCAAGACUUCUCCCAGUCACAGUCCCCCAAUCAUCAUGAGGUUGCAGAACCAUCUCAUAUCGAGCACACUAGCUUUCACAGGUCACCUUUCAGACCUGCCAUAGCACCUGGGUCCGCCGGGUCUGCAGUGUCAGAUUCGCCAGUUGCUUUUUCCCAGGGUUUGCCUCUCAAGCUGCACCAGGGCAAUGAUCAGGAACCCGGGCAGCUUGAAGAGGAAGACUAUGCUCCAAUGCUGAAUAUUGGAGCUUCACGAUGGGCUGAUAACAACAAUUCUUCUGCUGACGAAGGUGAGAUUUCUGAUGAGGAAGGCAUGACUAAAAGGAGAAAAAAGAUUGCCGUUGCUGAGUCAUUGGACACAAAGUUAAUCAAAAGGGUGCCAAGUCCUGAGCUUGGAGAGCUCUCAAGAGAAGGCUCUGAAGGAAUUCAAGCUAAGUCAUCCAGUUCUGAUGGUGAAGGUCGCCAUGCCAGGGCAGCUAGUGGAGAUGAAUAUGUUGAAAUUGAUUCUGAGAAAAAUGAUGUUAUGGAUGUUGACAGGGAAAGUGCUAAUGACUAUGUCAAUGGUCACCAGGUGGAAAUGGUUCCUAGUGAAAGUGAUUUACUUACACCACCAGAGCCAGCAACGGCCCCCCCAAGAAGCAUAAGCAUGUUACAGGGGUGUAGAAGUGUUCAUGAGUUCGAGAAAUUAAACAGGAUAGAUGAAGGCACUUAUGGUGUUGUUUUCAGGGCCAAAGAUAAGAAGACUGGGGAUAUUGUAGCAUUAAAGAAAGUGAAGAUGGAGAAAGAAAGAGAAGGUUUCCCCAUGACAUCUCUGAGGGAAAUUAACAUUCUUCUGUCAUUUCACCAUCCGUCAAUCGUGGAGGUUAAGGAAGUUGUAGUAGGGAGCAACCUUGAUAGCAUUUUCAUGGCUAUGGAGUACAUGGAGCAUGAUCUCAAGGGGCUGAUGGAAGUGAUGAAACAACCUUUUAGCCAGAGCGAGGUGAAGUGUAUAAUGUUACAGCUUUUGGAGGGAGUCAAGUAUCUUCAUGACAAUUGGGUGCUUCACAGGGAUUUGAAGACAUCAAAUCUUCUUAUGAAUAAUCGUGGUGAGCUGAAGAUUUGUGACUUUGGGUUGGCUCGCCAAUAUGGGAGCCCAUUGAAGCCUUAUACCCCCUUGGUAGUUACUCUGUGGUACAGGGCACCUGAGCUUCUAUUAGGAGCAAAGGAAUAUUCAACAGCUAUUGACAUGUGGUCCUUGGGCUGUAUAAUGGCCGAGCUUCUAGCAAAGGAACCGUUAUUCAAUGGGAAAACUGAAUUCGACCAGCUCGACAAGAUAUUUAGGACUCUUGGUACACCAAGUGAGAAGAUAUGGCCGGGAUUUGUCAAAUUGCCGGGUGUCAAGGUCAACUUCGUUAAGCAGCCGUACAACAAGCUACGUGAGAAGUUCCCACCAACAUCUUUCUCUGGACGCCCUACCCUUUCUGAGGCUGGCUUUGACUUGCUGAAUAAACUUCUUACGUAUGACCCUAGUCAGCGGAUAACAGCAGAAGCUGCUCUAAACCAUGAUUGGUUUAGUGAGGUCCCUGUGCCCAAAUCAAAAGAUUUUAUGCCGACAUUUCCUGCUCAACAUGCCCAAGACAGGCGUCAACGGAGAAUUUUGAAGAGCCCAGAUCCAUUAGAAGAGCAACGGCGGAAGGAUUUGCAGAGGAGUGAUUCAGGCAUGGGUGGCUUGUUUGGUUAAGUGAAAGAAUUCAUUGUACAGUUUCAUUGAGCUCCUCUGGUUAGGUUACUUGUGGAAUCCCAUGAGGUGAGAGACGUGCAUUGCAUGUGAAGUUGGAAACUUCUGUUAGUGAGACGACAAUUGAUGCUGUUCUUAGCAGGCACGCCAGAUGAUUCUUGAUGGAGAAAGAUACACUCUCUUGUUUUCUGCAAUCAAACAAAGUCUGUUGCAGGAUUUUUUUUUGUCCUCCAGCUUUGGCAAAUCAUGGCUUUGGCAAAUCAUAAAAAGUGCAUCCUUUGUGCAGCUGGCCUCGCAAGAAACGAUUGGUGUGAAGAGGAGGGCGUCCUUUGCUAUUUGUAUGUCCGAAGAAUUUGAAGAAAACCUUUCCACUGAAAAGUUGCAAUUGGCUGUGCUGUGGGACAAGGGGAUGCAAAAGCAAUAGGAUUGUCUCAGUGUGAUGCUAAUUUAUUUAUUUUGGUUUUACCAUGAAACUAUCUCCAUGAUAAGUCGGUCCUAUUCUAAUUUGGCUGCAAUCUAACAAAUUAUGUGAACACACUAAUACCUAAUAGUUGAAAUGUUUGUCGAUGUUAUUUUACUUGGUGAAUUUCAGUCUUUUAGUCACUGUACCUGGUGUGAGUGCUUUUGACGAUCUAAGUAUUUUAAUAAUUUUUGAUGUUUCUGCUGAUGCUGAUCUCCAACGAGAAAUGGAAAGUAGGUUCUUGAGAAUUUGUUUCAUGGAGGCACCUGCUUAUCUUCUGUGCAAGCCAUUGUCCUUUACUCCAUUCAGAUUUAGCGUCAGAGCGAGCUGAUUGAAGGGAGAGAUGAAACUGACACAAACCAACAGGAAUUUAUAGAAUUUCAGUUGUUUUUCCGCAUGGUCUGGAAAUGAUGUUGCUUUGAGAGCCCAGUGGUAAAUAGAGGUAGUGUGGCCAUUUCUUUCUUCUUUUCAGUUAAUAAAUGAUGUCUCCUGUGGGCAUCCAAUUUCUGACUGAACAUUUUUUUAUUGGGCGGCUUUUUUGGAUUAGUUUUGCCUAAUUUCAUUAGCAUGCUCUCUUUGCAAUACGUAUUGUGCAUUAAGUUGCAGGAACCUUCAACCUGGCUGUUGUACAUGCCUGCUCUGUGGUGCUCUUAUGCUUUGGAAUCUUGGUCCAGAACAGCAAGAAACUUCAGAUCCUUGUUCCAGAUGUACCUACGUAUGCAUAUUUUGACAUGUGGAGAAAGCUUUUGUGGUUAAGUUGAUCAGGUGUGGGUCUAUAACUCUGGUAACUUUUCUGCUUUGCUGGGUUUCCUACUAAGGAUACUUGCAUUGGGUGGUAGGUGUGCUUGGUUUACAAUAGAAUAAUGGAUGCAGCUUUUAAUUUUAGGUUUUCUAUGCCUUUUGAUUGAUGGCUGAGGAAUUGGUUUCCUCCCAAAGAUAAACGUUGAUGUUAAUGUUAGUUGGUUGCUAUUUUCUUCUUUGAUCUGUGUUCUCAACUGCCCUGUUUAGUUCUCAAGGAAUGCCAAGCACAGUCACAUGCUUGGGAGUAUGUGCUGGUUGGUCCACUUAAGCAAGGCACAUCCCAAAAUAUAUUCAGUCCCCUUAACAGUCUUGGCAUACUGCUGAGUGUGUGACUUUGCUAUUAGCAUUCCCCUUCUCUUUGUUUGCUUGUUUGUUUGCAGGGUGAUUGGAGAAAAUUCACUCUUAUCUAUGUACGCAUAUUCAACUCCAUGAGUUUGGCCUGAAGUGAAUGGGGAACAUGUUUUAGACAGUGGCAAUUCUUUGAGGGCUUUUAACAAUAAUUCCUUUAGCACACUUGGAACUGGUGUUCGUGUAGUCAAAAGUAAACUGUGCAAAAACCAUAGUGGUGGUGCCUGUUCUUGAUCGGCUUUGACCUCUUCUCAUAGUGUACAUUUUUUAUACACUUCUUUUGUAAGUUGGAUCCUGUAUGUUAUCUAAAAUUUCCAUAAUGGUUUCUGCCCUACUACUUUGAACGAUCUAUCUGAGUUGCCGUUUCUUUCACCACAACAUGCAGCCUUAUUCAUCUGGAAUGGCAUCAUGACUGCAUGAACAUCCGAAAGCUGCCCAAAAGAAGACAGUUGGGAGUCGGACGGUAGAACCAUGCGUUGGAGAAACUUCAUUCAUAUCUGAAGGGAGCUUUGUUGUAUUUAACUAAAUGGUGGUUCUUGUCCCAGCUAUAGAAAAAUGCAGUUGUAUGAUGCGUGCCUAAUUGGAAGUAGUGAUAAUUGCAAACAGUGUCCAUUAGCAGGUGGUGCUGCCCCGUAAUUUGCUGGGUCAUUUUACUUGCCUAUAUAUGUGGCACAAAUUUCAGGUAUUUAUAAUGGAUGACCUGGAUGGGUCCCACCAUGGGAAUGGGGGUUCAUCACAACGUGUGUUUCAAUAUGUGCAGCACACUUCUAAAACUUGCUGACUUUUAACUCGGAAUUUGCCAGCGCCACUUGCAGAAGUUGUAAACAAUAAAGUUGGGAGGGGAAGAUUCCAACUGAGUGCCCUAUUACCCCUUGUCAAAGGAAGCAGCAGCCUUAAGCCAGGGAAAGCAUGGGUAUUAUUGUUACUUUUAUAUUACUUUUGUGUGUCUAAGUUUUUAAAUAUAUAUAUUUAUAUUCAUAUAAUAAUUUCAAUUUAUAAUGAUUAAAUAUCGAGUUGAGUCUUCUGAGACAA